CACACAUAGCCAAGGUAGGAGCCCGGAAAAGAUUGUUUGAGACCGAGGGCAUCCAGCCCGUGCAGAGGCCCUGAAAGGGAGAAGCGGCGGCGAGAGACCUCCGCGGAGCACCCGUCCUCUCCCACAGGCCCCCCCAGGGCCAGUGCACAGCGCUGACCCUGCGUGCUGGGAUCGAAUCGACUGAAAAUCUGUGUGAUGCUGAGCUUUCUUCCACACUUCAGCCACAGCAGCAGAGGCGAAGCAGAUGAGAGAACCCAGCAUGGAGAUCUGUUCCAGAGAGGUUUGCAAAGGAGAAAGCAAGACAUUAAGGACAUUUACAAAAAUGAAAAGUAGUGCUUCUCUUUUCACUAAAUGUUUUGCUGCUUUGGAAAAUAAUUUUUAAAAUAAUCUAUAUGUCAAUACUUGAAAGAUUUAUUACUCUUAUCUUUAAGCUCAUAAAUCAAUAUAUUAAAAAUUUCUCUGUUUUGUCUCUAAUACAGUAAAAAUGGAUGGAUGACAUACCAUGCAAACAAAGCUCCUUGGAGUCUUCAAUAACUUGAGUAUAAAGGGGUCCAGGACUAAAAUAUUUCAGAACUUGUGCUUAGAAGAAAUGAAAACAUUCAGUGGUCAACAUAGCUCAUUGCUCUAGACUUUAAUUUUGAAGUUGGUUGGGUUGGUUUAUAACAUUGGGUGACAACAAAGAUUUUCCUUAAUAUGUUCAUCUAACAAAAGUCUUAAAUUUACUUUUGAUUGAAGACAUGUUUUAGUCAAAGACUGAACCGUAGAACACCAUCGAAGCCAGGAAAAUGGUAAAUAGGCAAGGUAAGUCAUUUGCCUAAGAAGCAGCCCUGGGGACAGUGCUGUGGUAUAGCAGGUUAAGCCACUGUCUGCAGCGUCGGCAUUCCAUAUGGACACCGGUUCGAGUUCCAGCUGCUCCACUUCUGAUCCAGCUCCCUGCUAAUGUACCUGGGCCCCUGCACCCACGGGGGAGACCUGGAAGAAGCUGCUGGCUCUUGG